rnacentral:rRNA from 1 species
GCGGCCUAUCAGCUUGUUGGUGGGGUAAUGGCCUACCAAGGCGACGACGGGUAGCCGGCCUGAGAGGGUGACCGGCCACACUGGGACUGAGACACGGCCCAGACUCCUACGGGAGGCAGCAGUGGGGAAUAUUGCACAAUGGGCGCAAGCCUGAUGCAGCGACGCCGCGUGAGGGAUGACGGCCUUCGGGUUGUAAACCUCUUUCAGUAGGGGAAGAAGCGUAAGUGACGUUACCUGCAGAAGAAGCGGCGGCUAACUACGUGCCAGCAGCCGCGGUAAUACGUAGGGCGCAAGCGUUAUCCGGAAUUAUUGGGCGUAAAGAGCUCGUAGGCGGUUUGUCGCGUCUGCUGUGAAAGACCGGGGCUCAACUCCGGUUCUGCAGUCGGUACGGGCAGACUAGAGUGCAGUAGGGGAGACUGGAAUUCCUGGUGUAGCGGUGAAAUGCGCAGAUAUCAGGAGGAACACCGAUGGCGAAGGCAGGUCUCUGGGCUGUAACUGACGCUGAGGAGCGAAAGCAUGGGGAGCGAACAGGAUUAGAUACCCUGGUAGUCCAUGCCGUAAACGUUGGGCACUAGGUGUGGGGGACAUUCCACGUUUUACGCGCCGUAGCUAACGCAUUAAGUGCCCCGCC